UCGCCCUACCCGCUAAUCCACGAUUGAGGCCCGGCGGCCCAAUUAAGGGCCUGCUCCACGUCUCCUUCCUCUCAAGAGUCCAGUCUCAGAUUCGACCACGCCGCCGCCUCGAUUGCUCCAUCUACCGACAUCUCCGUUCUCCUGAUAAUUCUGGCGGCCGCCGGCGACCUUGCCGCAUCACCUCGAUCUGCAGGUACAAGCCUCUCCCCAAGUCACUGGCCGACCUUGCCGCAUCACGUCGAUCUGCAGGUACAAGCCUCUCCCCAAGUCACUGUUAUUCCUAACUGCCCCGUACUCCGAGAUCAGCCAGAUGCCUCGAGAUAGGAGUUGGAUGGACAAGGAUGGGGACUCCAUAGAGUGGCAAACACCAAACGGGCAUUGAUGAAUUUUUGGAUUUUGCUGUUGAUGGCGCUCCUAUGGGAUCUACUGUCCCUUGCCCUGUAGAAAAUGCCUUAAUAUUAUUCACAAGGAAAGGGAUGAUGUCCACAUUGACCUGCUCCGGAAUGGGAGGAUCCAAGUUAUACUUGGUGGAAAUUUCAUGGGGAAGAAUCUGAUGAGGACAGUACGGGAGAAGUAUCUGGUAAUGAAGAGGUGAGAGGUGAUGACUUUGGAGUCUGUGAUAUGCUCACUGCUCUUAUACGUAGCACUGAGCCACAAAACAGCACUACUGUUGGCGAAACUGCUGAUGCUAGUCAGGAAGGGGCAUUAGGUGACAGUCACAAUAUCUCAGAGGGUAACACAGAAGCUAGAGGAAAGCAAGAGCCAAGUCAGUUAACACAGGGAUUCUUUGCUUUAUUGAAGAUGCAGAAAAGGAGUUGUACCCUGGUUGCAAGGAGCUCACAAAGCUUUCUUCAUUGUGAGACUCUACCAGAUUAAGUGCCUAUAUGGGCUGAGCAAUAAGGGGUGUGAGGCCGUACUUCAGCUGUUCUCGCAUGGCCUUCCAAAAGGCCAUUGUAUUCCGAAUUCUCUCGAGAAGGUUCAGAAGGUUAUUCGGGAUCUUGGGUUUGAGUACCAAAGGAUAGAUGCAUGCAUUGCAUGCAUUAAUCAUUGUGUGCUAUAUCAAGGUGAGAAUGCUGACUUGUUGGACCUUUGUCCGACCUGUCAGGUAUCUAGAUGGAAAUCUGCGAAUCAUGAUGACCCAGAUAUGGCGAGGAUGAAUAGUAGAGAAAAAAGUGCCACGUGGAGUUCUAAGAUAUUUCCCACUCACUCCACGGCUGCAACGGCUUUAUGACAGAAGCUACAUCCUCUGAUAUGAGAUGGCACAAAGAGGGCUGUGAGAAGGAUAAUAUAAUGCCAAAAUCUGCAGAUUCUCUUGCAUGGAAACAUUUUGAUUCGGAGCAUAAAAAUUUCUCAUCAGAUGCACACAACGUUAGACUUGGGCUUGCAUCUGAUGGAUUCAACCCUUAUGGUACAGUGAAUGUCUCGUACUCCUUUAAAAAAAAUGUCUCGUACUCCUGUUGGCCUGUGAUCUUAAUUCCCUAUAACUUGUCCCGCUGGAUAUGCUUGAAACAAUCAUAUGCUCUUUUUUAUGAAGGGGUACAGUGAUCUGGACCGUCCUUGUGAUUUCGUUGGAGGAGAGGGGGGUGUAUUGAAUCAGAAGUCUACAUUUUUUAGGUUCUCUAUGUAAAAUAUAUCUAUAAUACUUGCAGAGAGACCCAGAGACCAGAAGGGAACCAACUAUUCUGCAGCUUUGGAAGAUCACCCAUACGAAGGGUGAAUUAUGUUCUAACAAUGAAUCUCAAGAUGUAUAUGAUAAUGAAUGCUCACAAGUUAUGGAAAGAGAGGGAGAGAUUGAAGGUCCUGUCUCAACUGAAGAGCAAGAGAACAUUUUUCAGGCUAGCUAUAGAUCAACAAUGGAAUGUAGAUCGUCCCAGCCUCAUGGUCGUGGGCAUGGGUACAUGCCUGAACUUGCUAGUGGUUCUGAAAGGAUGCGAGCUGAGCUUGAUGAACAAGCUCGCGCACACGCUCAAAUCCAGAGAAAAAUGAUGAACUCGACAAUGAGGUUCAUGACUUGAAAAAAUCAAAUCACAGCAUUGCGUGCGGCAAGACAGAGCGAAAGAGAAGAAGAGAAUGCUGCAAGAGAAAAAGAGCACGAGGAAGAACACAUAGCAAGACAAAAAGACAUCCAAUGGGCUAAGGAGUCAAUGAAGGCUGAAGUUGGGCAGUCGAUGAGGGAAGAACCGGUGCAUUCAAUGAGGGCAGAGGUAAUGCAAUGGGAGUAAGCAAAAAUCUGGACCACAGGUACCUCAAUCAAAGGCUGCUCCAAGCAAUGGAACCAGAAACAGUUCACAUUGUAUGUUUAGAAACUCCAGGAUGUCUGGAUCAGCUCCAGGGAACGAAUGAUUUAAAAAGAUAUUUUUUCGAGAAAACGCAAAAGCUUUGCGUCUCGAUGCAUUGAUAGAAAGAAAUUUAUGUA